AAUAGGUUUCUCUGUACUUCCUGGUUGGGUGUCGCUCCCAGGUGGUGGGUGUGUCACUUUAGAGCGCAGCUGGUAGUUAUUUAUUGAGCUGGGGUCACGUAUUUAAGCAGUGGCCUCCCCCCUGCUUCUUGCUCUCCUUCCGUUGUGUCACUUCCGGGUCAUAGGUGUUGUUUUGCUGUCUGCGACAGGUACGUUUACUCUUGCUUCAACUCACUGGUUACUGGUCGUACUGAUUGAAUGCUUACGGCGUUUAUUUUGCGCUACAGAGUUGUGGGUGCGCCCCGCCGUUGAGUGCGUCUUUGGCUUGUGUGCCGCUCGCUUGGUUUCGCUGUGUUGCUGAGGUCGGUGGCGGUGCUGGUGGCGGGAUUCCCCCCCCUUUUUUUUGUUGUGUGCUGUGCUCCCUGGGAUUCAAGUUGUCACAACCGUGUGUGUGUGUGUGUCACGUGGGCGUGGGUGAUUUCUUGGUUUACUGGGUGACUUCCUCCCCACUGGCCCCUGUCCAUCCGGUAAGCCUCAGCCCUGAUUAGGUUCCCCUUUCCCUCCCUGUAUGAAUGGUGUUUUCUAAUGGUGUAUUAAAAAUAUUUUAAUAGUUGAGUGUAAAAUAAAGAUCUAUUUUCUUUACAAAUUGGAA